UACGGAGGGUGCAAGCGUUGUCCGGAUUUAUUGGGUUUAAAGGGUGCGUAGGCGGCCAUUUAAGUCUGGGGUGAAAGCCCGUUGCUCAACAACGGAACUGCCCUGGAAACUGGAUGGCUUGAGUACAGACGAGGGUGGCGGAAUGGAUGCUGUAGCGGUGAAAUGCAUAGAUAGCAUCCAGAACCCCGAUUGCGAAGGCAGCUGCCUAGACUGUAACUGACGCUGAGGCACGAAAGCGUGGGGAGCGAACAG
rnacentral:rRNA from 1 species